rnacentral:rRNA from 1 species
UGCAGUCGAGCGGUAGAGAGAAGCUUGCUUCUCUUGAGAGCGGCGGACGGGUGAGUAAUGCCUAGGAAUCUGCCUGGUAGUGGGGGAUAACGUUCGGAAACGGACGCUAAUACCGCAUACGUCCUACGGGAGAAAGCAGGGGACCUUCGGGCCUUGCGCUAUCAGAUGAGCCUAGGUCGGAUUAGCUAGUUGGUGGGGUAAUGGCUCACCAAGGCGACGAUCCGUAACUGGUCUGAGAGGAUGAUCAGUCACACUGGAACUGAGACACGGUCCAGACUCCUACGGGAGGCAGCAGUGGGGAAUAUUGGACAAUGGGCGAAAGCCUGAUCCAGCCAUGCCGCGUGUGUGAAGAAGGUCUUCGGAUUGUAAAGCACUUUAAGUUGGGAGGAAGGGCAGUAAAUUAAUACUUUGCUGUUUUGACGUUACCGACAGAAUAAGCACCGGCUAACUCUGUGCCAGCAGCCGCGGUAAUACAGAGGGUGCAAGCGUUAAUCGGAAUUACUGGGCGUAAAGCGCGCGUAGGUGGUUAGUUAAGUUGGAUGUGAAAUCCCCGGGCUCAACCUGGGAACUGCAUUCAAAACUGACUGACUAGAGUAUGGUAGAGGGUGGUGGAAUUUCCUGUGUAGCGG